GUGAAGCUACCGAACAGAUUGCCUACUAUGACUUACACAGCACAUCUGAACCGAACUGGUUCUUUUGGACAACUGAUUCUAUGCUAAUGUUAUGAGCGCAGUAACUAAGCUCCACUUA